GAAGCCCACAAUAAUGAAAAAGUAGUUGAUUUAUUCACGAAAAUGCCCCCAUAAAAAACAACUUUCGUUUCUCCCAUUGAGAAAUAGGGAAUUUUCCGUAUGCAAGGGGACACUCCCAAAUGGUCAAGCAAUCGCUGUUAAACGAAUGUACGUUUUUCAACACAACACAGUGGGCAAAGGAAUUCAUCAACGAAGUAAACUUAAUCAGAGACAUUCAACACAAGAAUCUUGUUAAGCUGCUAGGAUGUAGCAUUGAAGGGUCUGAAAGUCCCCUGGUCUACGAGUUCAUGCCUAAGAAGAGCCUUGAUCACCAUCUCUUUGGUAUUGCUUAUUUUUUUCCCAUCCAUAUUCCAAAUACAGGAACUUGCAUGAGAUUUUUGGUUCAUAUAUAAAUUGUUUAUUCUGUAAAAAGGGGGUCAGAAUCUGAAUUGGAAGCAAAGAUUGCAGAUUUUGGUUUGGUAAGGUCUAUUGCUUCAGGUAGGAGUCAUCUGAACACCGGAAUUGCUGGAACACUUGUUGCUGGUGCAGCGGAUACAUGGCUCCAGAGUAUUUGGUUCAAGGACAACUUACUGAGAAAGCAGAUGUUUACAGUUUUGGGGUACUUGUUCUCGAGAUAAUAAGUAGUAGGAAGAACGUUUUCAUACAGGAUUCACUAUCCCUUCUACAAUGUUUGGAAUCUCUACAGAUUAGACAGACAAUAUGAAUGUGUUGACUCUUACUUGGGUACCGAGUUUCAGGAGGAGGUAUUAAAAGUGCUUCAGAUAGGUCUUCUCUGCACUCAAGCUUCAGUCCCUUAAAGACCAUCCAUGGCUCAGGUGGUUGACAUGCUAACUAGUGGAAAUUGCGAGAUACCAACACCGAAUCAACCUUUAUUCCUCAAUACCAAUUUGUUUGGAAGUACCGGCCAUUUUAGUGGAAAACGUCACAUUAGAACUAGCUUAGACUCACUUCCCCUCAUUCAAAACCAAGAUGAGAAAAGAUAAAUGCAAGUUUCAUAUUUGUAUACCAAAAGCGUCUGCUGUAUUAUUCUUAAAGGUGUUACUAUUACGAGUAUAAGGGACAGUAGUGUUACAGUUUAGGAAAAUACAAUUCUCUUAAGAACCUUAUAAAAAUCAAAUCCAAGAUGUUGUUUAUAGAAGGUUUUUAAGAGAAUGAAGGUUAUUAUAGUAUACCAAGCUGCAGUUGCAUACACUCUAAUAAGUUUCAUCUUGAAUCUUAUCCCUUUUAAACUGUUAACCAUUCAAUUUUCGUCUAUUCCUUUGGUAGUUGCAUUAUCCCUAACCCUUUAAAAAGUGGGAACUUCUCCAAAUGAAAGGAAUAGUGAUAUGAGUCACAAGUCAAUGAAAUUUCACUAUUCUUAAGUUGCAAAAUGGGAGAGUUUGACCAACUUGCAUUUGGGUGCAAUUUCAUUUAAUUUAUUGAGUCACCAAAUUAUACUUUCUCCCUAAUUUCCUCCCUUUCCCUUCUUUCAUUUGAGUAUUCAGCUUUUGAUUAAAAAAAAAAAAAACAUUCUCUAUUUCUCCUCCAUUGAAGUUGUACUCUGAGCUUUCUCUACUCCAUUGACACAAAUACACACAUCAAAAGCCAAUAAACAAAGAAAGGAAAAUCGAAAAUCGUUUUGUGUCAAAAAUUAGGAAAUUUGGAUUUUAAUACUUUUGCCACGGAACCAUUUUGGUUAAUAUUUGCCAAAAUUGGCUCACUUUGGAUUUUAAUCAAGUAAGAGUUCAACAAUGGUGGAUUUUCUUGCUUGUAUUAUUAUCAUGGGACCGAUUAUGGCGUGAAGAAUUUUAAUCCGAAACAUUAAUUUUAUCCGAUUUAAGCAAGUGAGAACGGACAAAUGCUGGAGGAGGAGAAUAAGAAUGCUUUGGUGGAUUCCAAAACCGAGGUAGCUGUUCAGAGUAUUGAAGCGUCUGUUGAUGAUCAGGUGGUGAGGAAGGCAAUAAAGAGGUGGUUCCUCAAGAAGUCACGAGGUUACUGAAACUGAACCUGUGUGGUUACUGAGGAUGAGGAGAAAAUUGAUUCCAAAUAUGGUGAUUCGGAAGAGAAGGAUGCUGAGAUACCUUCAUCUUAUAAUGCUCCAUUGGAAGGUGUGGAAACGACUGCCUAUGAAGGUGCAGAACAAGGUGAUGUUGCGACUGAGCAGCAAUAUCCUGAUUCUGGAGCAUGACUCGGAGGAUUGAGAUUCCGAAUUAUAAGGUUGGAGUUCUCAUAGGACAACAUGGAGAUAUGAUAAAGUAUCUACAGUUGUAUUCAGGGGCCAGGAUUCAAAUCACAAGAUAUGCAGAAGCUGAUCCACGAUCUGCAACUAGGCCGGUUGAACUUGAGGGGACACUUCAAAGUUUAAACUAGGCUGAGAGUCUGAUAAAGGAUGAGUCUAAAAUCCAUUGAAGAAUCUGAAUUUUGGGAGAAAAUGGUUACCAAGUAUGACUUGGCAGAAACGAAGUGAUUAGAGAGUCUCAAUUACCAAGAAGUGGUUAUUCUUACAGUUAUUGUCAAGUAUGUAGCAAUUAUUUGAUGGCCAGUAUUUCUUAUUGCCUAAAAAGUUUUUCCAGAAAGUUUUGAUAACUUGGGGUCCACACGCUUGACAUUGCAUCAUAAUAUGCGGAAGCAAAGAGAAUUAAGAAGUGGAGAUGUCGUGUUUUUGCACUACAAGAAGCACUUGAUAAGUUGCUAGAGCUCUGGUUGAAACAGCCAUCCUAGGAUGGAAAAUGCAGUACCUAACUUUUAAGAUAUAAGAUUGUGCUUUAGUUUGUCUCUUCCUUUACUCAGACACAAACCUAUCUUCUGAUUUUUCUUUCAAAGAGAAAUAACAUCCAAUUUCAGUAGAGUGAUCUCGAAGCAGGGGCUAACAAAGAGCAUGUUAAUUGCUAAUGGCUUGUAUAGUACACAAUAAUCUCUUUAGGAAGAUAAGUCAAUUACUUUUGACAAAUUUAUAUCAUAUAAUCAACAUGGAUGUCUUGGCUUUUUUCAUAUAGAUAAACUAGGUAACACAACUAAAUGGAGGGACACUAUGCUAUCGUUUAUAUAGUGCUUCUAUUUUCAA